UCUAUUUCAGUACCGACACUCUAAAAAGUCAGGUAAACAAUACUUUCCUGUGGAUAUUUAGUCUCAAAUUUUGAGCAGCUGAAGGACCAACCGCACAGACAACCCAGAGUAAAUUUUAUCCCAGUAAAGGCAUACCGUAGAAAACAAAUGAUGAGCUGUGAAACAGAACCUGAGCCCUAGGACCAUACGUCAGGACUACCGGGCA